rnacentral:rRNA from 1 species
UUCCGGUUGAUCCUGCCGGACCUGACUGCUAUCGGAUUGGUACUAAGCCAUGCGAGUCAUUGUAGCAAUACAAGGCGGACGGCUCAGUAACACGUAGUCAACCUAACUCGUGGACGUGGAUAACCUCGGGAAACUGAGAAUAAACCACGAUAGAUCAUAGUGCCUGGAAUGGCUUAUGGUCCAAACAGUUUACUGCCAUGGGAUGGGACUGCGGCCUAUCAGCUUGUUGGUGAGGUAAUGGCCCACCAAGGCGAUUACAGGUACGGGCUCUGAGAGGAAAAGCCCGGAGAUGGGUACUGAGACACGGACCCAGGCCCUAUGGGGCGCAGCAGGCGAGAAACCUUAGCAAUGUGCGAAAGCACGACUGGGUCAGUCCGAGUGAUUCCUGAUAAAGGAGUCUUUUGCCUGUCCUAAAAGCACAGGUGAAUAAGGGGUGGGCAAGUCUGGUGUCAGCCGCCGCGGUAAUACCAGCACCUCGAGUGGUCAGAACGUUUAUUGGGCCUAAAGCAUCCGUAGCCGGCUCUGCAAGUCUUCGGUUAAAUCCACCUGCUCAACAGAUGGGCCGCUGGAGAUACUACAGAGCUAGGGAGUGGGAGAGGCAGACGGUAUUCAGUGGGUAGGGGUAAAAUCCUCUGAUCCAUUGAGGACCACCAGUGGCGAAGGCGGUCUGCCAGAACACGUUCGACGGUGAGGGAUGAAAGCUGGNGGAGCAAACCGGAUUAGAUACCCGGGUAGUCCCCAGCUGUAACGAUGCAAACUCGGUGAUGCAUUGGCUUAUGGCCAAUGCAGUGC